AUACGGAGGAUCCGAGCGUUAUCCGGAUUUAUUGGGUUUAAAGGGAGCGUAGGUGGAUUGUUAAGUCAGUUGUGAAAGUUUGCGGCUCAACCGUAAAAUUGCAGUUGAUACUGGGUGUCUUGAGUACAGUAGAGGCAGGCGGAAUACGUGGUGUAGCGGUGAAAUGCUUAGAUAUCACGAAGAACACCGAUUGCGAAGGCAGCCUGCUGGACUGUAACUGACGCUGAUGCUCGAAAGUGUGGGUAUCAAACAGGAUUAGAUACCCUGGUAGUCCACACAGUAAACGAUGAAUACUCGCUGUUUGCGAUAUACAGUAAGCGGCCAAGCGAAAGCGUUAAGUAUUCCACCUGGGGAGUACGCCGGCAACGGUGAAACUCAAAUGAAUUGGCGGG
rnacentral:rRNA from 1 species